rnacentral:lncRNA from 1 species
CAUAUACACACUAGGCUCAGGAUUGCAGUUUCCAGUUGGUGAGCCUUGGAUACUUUCUUUGAGCCAUGUGACUCACCACAGCUUUCCUUGACUUUAGACCUGACAUGUUGAGCAAUUAAGGGAGGUCUGUCAGCUACUCAAGUGCUGAGGAGAGCCAUGUGACUCACCACAGCUUUCCUUGACUUUAGACCUGACAUGUUGAGCAAUUAAGGGAGGUGUGUCAGCUACUCAAGUGCAAAGGAGCCUUGACUUUAGACCAGACAUGUUGAGCAAUUUAGGGAGCAAUUUAGGGAGGUGUGUCAGCUACUCAAAGGCAAAGGAUUCACUCAAUUGACCAAUAACUCACU